UCGAACUCGCCGUGCUUAAAGGCUACGCGAGCCAUGCCUUUUGGCCUCUUCAUCUGCCAUCGGCUUUGAAAAAAGCUGGCGGUCGCCUCAGACGCAGUGCGCCCGAUCAGUCCCUUGUCCAACAGCGCCAUGCCCGUCAUGCCGCCAGCAAUAGCUCUUCCCAAUACGACGCCCGCCCUGACGCCGCCGGCGGGCCAGUCUCGAAUCUCGUCGACCCGCCAUCCCGGCUAUGCAACGGUCAUCGCCGUCGUCCUGUACAUGGUGAUAGCUACCCCGUGCGUCGUCGCGCGGCUGUAUACGAGGGCUGUAGUCCCCAGGAAGGCUGUGGUGGGAUGACCAAGCUUUCCAGCUUCCGCCCCAUCCGCCUUUGAUAGUCGCGCAUCUGAUCGUGCUCAAGGGUCCUCCGUUGUCGCGCUAGUCGGCCCCUUUAUGCCUUUUGCUGCAUCCCGCUCAUCGGACUGCGAUAUGGCUUCGGAAUCGACGAGUGGAAUGUUUCACGGACCCACUUGAAGGAGUUCAACAAGCUAUUCUCCAUCAUCGAAAUUAUCGCUCGCAUCUCAAUUUUCUUCACCAAGCUGUCUAUACUGCUCUUGUGUCUGCGCUACUUUUUUCCCACUGGCAUCCGUCGCAACUGGAUAUACUACUCCACCGUUUCGUCAUCGCUUUCAAUGCCCUGUACUGCGUCCGCCCUCGUGCUCGUCGUGCGACUACAAUGCGUCGGCCAACCCCAGGCCGUUGUCGAAGCUGGAACUUGCAUCAACCACUACCUCGUUCUCGUCACUGCGUCUGCUAUUAAUGUGCUGACUGAUUUCUUAAUUCUCUUGAUUCCCCUCGUCGCCGUAUGGCAUUUGCGCCUGCCGCAGCGGCGAAAGCUCGGUCUACUCGUGGUGUUUGCCGUCGGUGGCCUAGGAUGCGCGGCCAGUAUCGCCCCUGGGCUAUUAAGUCCUGAAGCGUAGAACAAGAACCAAAAAUCAUCCUGACUAAUGUGUCGCUACUGGCCCUCGCCGAGCAUUGUAUUUGCAUUGUCGUCAGUUUCAUGCCGUUGUUCCCAUCCCUGUAUCGCCACCUGCGUUCCAAACCAAGCCCUUCCUCAUUACGAACACCCACGACGGCAGUUCCCGAAGUGCACCAUAGGGCAUAUAUCAAUUCGCCGAAGGCAAGAUCGCUGGGGAAGCUCGAGCGCAUUGAUCAUAGAAACAGAGCAGGCCGCGCCAGACGAGUAAGAGAUGGUGCGGGUGGAAGAGAGGACAAAGGGGAACGAUACAAUUAAAGAGAGCGCAGCAGUAAACUGCUCGAUCAAGCCGGUUUGAUUGGUGAGAUCGCUUUGCUCACUAGUUUCAAGCACUGAUCAAGCUACCCAGUCAUAACUUAAAAGCUCGAGAGGCUGGCAGCCUGUCAAUCUGGGCGGGCUUGGUGAUGCGGUCCUGCGACCUACAUGAUAUUCUCAUCAGCCGUACAUCGGGAAGAGGAGGGAACGAAAACGGAAAGCUGUGUGACGAUCCAUGGAUCAUGAGGCUGAGACCAGCCCUUGUCAAACCACUACCGUUGUUCCAUGUACUAGUCCGUGCCUCUCUAUGGCGAGUUAUACUUAGCUGGGAUGAGAUUCUGGAGAGUACUUGUCAGGGUGCCAUCUGGUUGUAUAUAUCAAGGCGCAUCUACGUGAUUUUUUGAGAAUUUUUUUCUUUGCCUUAGGCAGGA
rnacentral:lncRNA from 1 species